GACGAACGCUGGCGGCGUGCUUAACACAUGCAAGUCGAACGGAAAGGCCCUGCUUUUGUGGGGUGCUCGAGUGGCGAACGGGUGAGUAACACGUGAGUAACCUGCCCUUGACUUUGGGAUAACUUCAGGAAACUGGGGCUAAUACCGGAUAGGAGCUCCUGCUGCAUGGUGGGGGUUGGAAAGUUUCGGCGGUUGGGGAUGGACUCGCGGCUUAUUAGCUUGUUGGUGGGGUAGUGGCUUACCAAGGCUUUGACGGGUAGCCGGCCUGUGAGGAUGACCGGUCGCACUGGAACUGAGACACGGUACAGACUCCUACGGGAGGCAGCAGUGGGGAAUAUUGGACAAUGGGCGGAAGCCUGAUCCAGCCAUGCCGCGUGUGUGAAGCAGGUCUUCGGAUUGGAAAGCACUGUAAGUUGGGAGGAAGGGCAGUAAGUUAAUACCUUGCUGUUUUGACGUUACCAACAGAAUAAGCACCGGCUAACUUCGUG
rnacentral:rRNA from 1 species